UGGAAGCAGCUCUCCCCCUCCUCCGCCACCAACGGCGCCCUGCACACUGACUCGCCGCCGCCGCCCGCCGUCAUGGACGCAGACCACUGGCCCGCGCUUGCCGACGCCGCCAAGACCAAGACCCUGCUCUCGACCUUCUUUGUUUGGGAUGUUGCACGACGAUAGGUGAGAGUACCAUCGCUGCUUGUCCCCAGAGAUGGUAGGUGAGAGUACCAUCGCUGCUUGAAGGUGCCCUAUUUUUUGCUUGGUGAUGUUCGCUCGGUUGCUUGGUGUUGUUCGCUCCUGCUCCUGCUGUCCUCCAGUCCUUCAAUCCAUCAAUUUUGACAGCACCGUCACCCCUGAGAUGUGCUACCAGCUCAAAGUCUGCAUUCGUUUUAGUUCCAGAUGGUGUGAUGCACACCUACAUCUCAAGUGAUUAAGUGAUUCGGUAUAUCUUUUAUGUUAUUCAAUUUAGAUUUCGCCCCAACUUUAAUUGCUUUGGGCAUAUCCAAACUAGUACAAGUUUAAUACCCAGGUUUUAAUUUAAAUUUCACAGGCUAAAAACAAUGUUAGUGCUUGCUGUUUAAAGCAACAACUCAUGCCUCAUGGGCAGUUGCGGCAUGGAGGGACACCCAAGCUCCAUAAUUCGGUCGCAUGGAGUUGGUCCGUUUUUCAUGCUUGCCGGCCACCCAAGCUCCAUCCACUCGGUGCCAUAGCCGGUCUGCUGCCAUCUUCUUAUAUUGGUGAAGUUACAGUUGCUCAUACUACCAGGUCAGAGAGUCGGCUUUUUAUCUAAUAAACCUGGCAUAACGGACAUAGCACAUACCACUUCGUAGAAAUUGCUAACGUCAAUAUUAGAUACAAAUCCCUCACCCCUGUGUGUGAGAUAGCUAAGUUGAACAGAUUUUUGCCAUAGAAGCAGAAUACCAUGAUUGUAGGUGAGAAAAUUCGGUAAUAUAAUUAUACACUGUCUAUAAAGAGGCAACCCGCUUCAUUGGGCUGGUUUUGGUAAUAACUCGAGUUGAUGCUGCAAAAUUACCGACAGCCUGUGCGAUGAUUUAAUCUUGCUAUAUGAUGCUCAUGUUUUUAGGGAGUGCGCUGCUCAAGGUUAAUUUAUUUUUUAAAUAUCAUGACAUGGCUUACAGUAUCGUUCGUAACUGAUAUUAAUUUAAUCUUUUCUUGCAUUGUAGAUAGCCUAAUCUUCAGUAUAAUUUUACGAUGGUAUAUAUUUAUACUCAUCUCAUCUAUCAUGUAAGUUACAUGGUAUAAAUUGGACUCUUUUACACAAAUAAUCUCUCACGUUAACUGAACAUAUAUACAUUUUUUGGGAUACUAAUUUAAAGCAAAGUAAUUGUCUUAAUGUGGAAGUUUCACCAUUUAAUUGUCUUGGUGUAGUUAUAUGGUGCAUGAAGUUGUUUUAGCUACAAUUUUAGUUGAGGUAUACCUAUUUUUAUAAUAGUCACUGUCAAUCCAUUAUUUGUGCCAGCAAGGUAAGGAGCUACUACAAAUUCUUUCAUAUUUAUCCGGCUUAAUUUAGAUGCUAUUUUAUUCACACACAUGUGCACAAGUAACAGAUGUCAAUCAAUGCUAAAUCCGCCAUUUCAUUUUUUUAAAGCACGCCAUUUCAUAAGGCUCUACAAUGGUGCCCUCACAUGUCCAUUAAGAUGGACUAUUAGGGACUGUGGGAUCCAUCCCAAAGUUUGUAAUUAUGAAUGAUAUGUAACAUGAGCAUCGGAGAGCAUGUAGUCAAUUUAGGAAGUUCUUAAUUUGUUGUUCUCAUUAGUUCUCGCCUUUCUUUCUAGCUUUGAGCCAAAGGAUCUAGCCCUGCACACAUGCAGAUUGGUUCCAUAAUUAGAUUAUCACCAAACUGAAUGUCAGGAAGAAAACCUAUAUGGCUGUUCUAAUUUAUCACGAAAGUCACUCAGGUCACUGUGUAUAUGUGAUCCUGCCUCUUGAAUAAUGAGUGGAACACCAUUGUGAACGGCUCAAGGAGAAAUCUAAUGUAGUUGUCGCCUUGCAGGUACAGUUAAUGUCAAGUAAGGUGGGUGAGAAAAAAGUCGGUGCAGGACAAUUGAAUUGGAGGUGUGAUCGCUGCAUUGGGAUCAAUGAUUACUUAAGAGACAAAGGUUUGAUUUAGUUGUAUGUAUCCAGUUGAGUCGGAUUUGUGUUGGUCAAAGUAAAUUUCUGCACGAAUUUGUUAGUAUUUACUUCUAUUUAAUCAAUACAGGUACAGAUAACUCUUUUUUUUAAGUAGGAUCGAAUAUUAGAAUCAUUUGUUGAUGAGUGCUUAAGCAUAUCUUCCUAGAUUUCUAGAUGGAUUAAUAUCUCUAUCAAUUGCAUGUUGCACCUAUGCAUAUAAUAUCACCAUCUAACUAAAGGAUAUGUCCCCUGUAUCGAUGAUAUUACUACCUAUGUUUCUCUGAAUAACCUUCGUGGACUGAUUAACUGGGUGCAUUAUCUUAUAGGAUUUUAACAAAAAAAGAAUAUAAAGUUUGCCAAUAUAAUAUAAAAGUUCGCCUUUGGAAUGUUCAGGUAUACUUAAUUAGAGUUAUACAUGAUACACACGAACUAGAAAUUCUUACGUCCACUUGACAUAAAAAGGAAAAUGCAUCUUCAAUUCUAUCCAAUAAGACUGGCUUUCUUUCCAUGCCGUGGAUAUCACAUUAUUUCACAAAAUAGUAAAAUCUAUGAAAUAGAUUUGGUGCUAUAUCUAAUAGAAGAAGUAGUUGGUGUUCCAACAUACAUUUAGUUAUUCUACCAAAGAGAUUACUUGAAUAAAAGGAUUGUGCAGUAGAGAGUGCAUUUGACGACUCCGUAUCAAAUAUAUUCUAACUUGAGUACGGAGACUACUAGAUAUAUUGGUUAGCUGGGGUUGAAGCAUUACACAAUUUUAGUACCAUGAAAUAGAUUUGGUGAUAUAUCUAAUACAAUAAAUAGUUGGUGUUCCAACAUACAUUUAGUUAUUAUACUAAAGAAAUAUGUAUAUGAGAAAAAAAUGCUAAUUAGGCUGCAAAACUCAUACUGUUUUGGUAUACUCCUAAUUUGGACAUACUCCAUACUUCUUUUUUAGAUACCUCAUACUGCUUUUCUUUUGCGAAAACCCCUACAUACUACAUACUAAGUACAUCAUAAUUAUUCAUACAUAUACUCCUUUUAUUGCGAAAAAUAAACAUACUACUUUCUUUAUAAAAUACUAUAUACUCCCAAUUCUCUUAUGAAAGACCAUAUACUUUAUACCUUUUUAAAGUAAUAUACUGCAUGCAGUAUACUCCAUUUUUAAGUACAGAUAGAACAUCAAUGAAUGGCUAUGAAUAUGCAUGUCGGACACUCACAUUUACUGUUCAUUAGCAAUUGGAUCAAAAAUGAGUGCAUACAACAAGAAGUAUCACGUAUACGAACAUAUACUACAUGCGUCCACGUAGCUAUACUAUAGUGCAAACAAGUAGCGUCACGCCAUCGAUAUACACACACACGUACAACAGUAAUAAUUAUACAUAUUCACACUCACAAUUCACAAGGAUACUAUAUUCCAGUAAUAUGCAACAUUAUAUUUUUUGUUUCAUACAAUAAUACAUAUUAUUUUGCAACAUGUAUACUAGAAUCUAUAUACUCUAGUCCGAAGUAUACAAAGUAUAUGCAUCAGCUGUCACGCUAGCAUGUCUCGACUUGUUUGGAAUGCAAGAAAGUAGCAGUUUGUUGAAACUAACCCACACCGUACCAUUUUCUACUGUUUUAUCAGCAAAGCAUUAAAGUAUAUGCAGCAACAAUUUUCUAUUGUUUUAUCAUUGGUUAUCGUGCAUGGAAUUUUACUAGUUUCCUUGGUCUGAAAGCUUUACCAUCAUUUUCUUCUUGCAGGCGGCAAUGGCAAGAGCAUAUUGUGCUGAAGAUGAUGAACCUUAAUGCGUUGAACCUUGUAUACUAGAACCUUGCAGGUGUUUUUGCAGAAGUAUUUUGUUAUGCACAUGUAAAAUUAUUUUGAUGUGCCCUUGUUAGGCGUUCAACCUUAAUGCGUGGAGUCGGUGGAUGAUGUAUUGUAUUUGAUGUGAUAUGCUACUGAAAUGAACUAUACA
rnacentral:lncRNA from 1 species